CGUCAGCGACCCCACCGCCUGCCCGCUCCCCGGCCACGCGACCAACCCGAUCGCCGCCGGUUCCGGCGAUGU
rnacentral:sRNA from 1 species